rnacentral:rRNA from 1 species
GAUGAACGCUGGCGGCGUGCCUAAUACAUGCAAGUCGAGCGAACGGACGCGGAGCUUGCUUCUCUGAUGUUAGCGGAGGACGGGUGAGUAACACGUGGAUAACCUACCUAUAAGAGUGGGAUCACUUCGGGAAACCGGAGCUAAUCCCGGAUAAUAUUUUGAACCGCAUGGUUCAAAAGUAAAAGACGGUCUUGCUGUCACUUAUAGAUGGAUCCGAGCUGCAUUAGCUAGUUGGUAAGGUAACGGCUUACGAAGGCAACGAUGCAUAGCCGACCUGAGAGGGUGAUCGGCCACACUGGAGCUUGGACGCGGUCCAGACGCCUGCGGGAGGCAGCAGAAGGGAAUCUUACGCAGUAGUCGAAAGCCUUACAGAGCGACGCCGCGUGAGUGAUGAAGGUCUUCGGAGCGUAAAACUCUGUUAUGAGGUAUAAACAUAUGUGUAAGUAACUGUGCACAGCGUGACGGUACCGAAUCAGAAAGCCACGGCUAACUACGUG